rnacentral:rRNA from 1 species
GGAGGAAAGUAGGGGAUCGAAAACUGCGCUAAGGAGCGCCGAUUCUGAUUAGCUAGUUGUGGGGUAAAGGCUUACCAAGGCAACGAUCAGUAGUUGGUCUGAGAGGACGACCAACCACACUGGGACUGAGACACGGCCCAGACUCUACGGGAGGCAGCAGUGGGGAAUUUUGGACAAUGGGCGAAAGCCUGAUCCAGCCAUGCCGCGUGAGUGAAGAAGGCUUCGGGUUGUAAAGCUCUUUCAGCCGGAACGAAACGGUCACGGUUAAUACCCGUGAUCACUGACGGUACCGGAAGAAGAAGCACCGGCUAACUACGUGCCAGCAGCCGCGGUAAUACGUAGGGUGCGAGCGUUAAUCGGAAUUACUGGGCGUAAAGCGUGCGCAGGCGGUUUUGUAAGUCAGAUGUGAAAUCCCCGGGCUCAACCUGGGAUGCGUUUGAAACUACAAGGCUAGAGUGUAGCAGAGGGGGGUGGAAUUCCACGUGUAGCAGUGAAAUGCGUAGAGAUGUGGAGGAACACCGAUGGCGAAGGCAGCCCCCUGGGUUAGCCUGUCGCUCGGCGCGUUGCGUGGGGGGC